rnacentral:ncRNA from 1 species
UAUACCUAAGUGGUGCGGGCAAAGGAGCAACAUUCAUUUCACAGUUUUUUAAGUCUCCUUUAUAUACUUUGUCCCUAUCUACUAUCUAGCGAAACCACAGCCAAGGGAACGGGCUUGGAAAAAUCAGCGGGGAAAGAAGACCCUGUUGAGCUUGACUCUAGUCUGACUCUGUGAAGAGACAUGAGAGGUGUAGCAUAAGUGGGAGGCCGUGAACCCUCGCGGUUGUGUCGUGCCGUCAGUGAAAUACCACUACUUUCAUCGUUUCUUUACUUACUCGGUGAAGCGGAAAGCGGACCAUGAGUGUCCACGCUUCUAGCACUAAGUGCAAGGCCCU